rnacentral:misc_RNA from 1 species
AAAUUAUCAAAAUAAGUCUUUUGUUCAUUCGAUUGACUUUUAUUUUGGACUUGGAGGUCUGCAGAUUCACGUCUGCUCCUCUUAAAUAAAUUAGCUGGAUCUCAGUGAGCUCGGUUCCACUCGGCGUGAUAAGUAUCACUCGCUGAGGACACUGUAAAAGGUGGCCGGGAUUGCGGAUGAACCGCUUCUAAUCGUCCAUUUACUUGGACAACAAAUACUUUAUG